UAAAAACCGAGGUAAAAUCUUAGUCAAGUAUCACCAACUUGCCAACUACAAGUUGUGUGGUUCAUCCUCUGAAGAUCUCCGAUCGAGCUGAUUGCAGUUUGGGUCGUGUUCCGAAGUCUUUGCCUUUGAAGACAGUUCCUGUCCUUACCUUAUACUCUACACUUCCAUAUAUAAUCGGGGAGACCAGGUGGCAGUUUUUGAGUCUAUCCGACAUGGAAAAACGGCAAAACACAGCGUGAAAACUUUUUCAAACGGCAAACACGAUCCGGAGCUGUCACUACAGACCAACACAAACCCGGACAACACUGCACUUGUGUCACGAUUAACUGUAUUUGCACCACGAGCACUACAGCACUCACUGUGGACUUGUGACCGUGUUUGUAUAUUGUGUGUGUAUUAAAGACUGUGUUUAUUUUUUCGAGACUGAACCCCAUGGUUUCACUGAGCAAUGCGCAUUGUUGUGUAUUGCCAGUUAACGUUAUUAUUUACUGUUGUCAAGUGACGUUGGAUUACAAAAUAAACCAUCAUUUCACCAGUAACGUUGUUGUCAUUCUCUUUGAGCGCUGCA